rnacentral:rRNA from 1 species
UACGUAGGGUGCAAGCGUUAAUCGGAAUUACUGGGCGUAAAGCGUGCGCAGGCGGUUAGGCGAGACAGCUGUGAAAUCCCCGGGCUCAACCUGGGAACUGCAGUUGUGACUGCAUAGCUGGAGUGCGGCAGAGGGGGAUGGAAUUCCGCGUGUAGCAGUGAAAUGCGUAGAUAUGCGGAGGAACACCGAUGGCGAAAGCGGGUCUCUGGGCAUUUCCUGACGCUGAGGCGCGAAAGCGUGGGGAGCAAACGGG